rnacentral:lncRNA from 1 species
UGAAUUUAUUCAUUCCCCAUUACAUCAUGUCCCAGUGGAUCAAAGAAAUCCAUAGUUCAAAUCCAAAAAUGGGGUAUUACAGACAUUCCAAUCACAUAAAGGGAGGAAGUGUCGACGAAAUUCGAUUUGAUGCACACACAAAAAGAGCUGGAAAUCAUUGCAAUCCUGGAUGGAAAUCAGGGCGCCAUUAUUCUGAUGAAGAGUAGUGAGGUGAUCAAGAGGCAAGCUCAAUUUCAAUUCCGCCAAUGGUGAUAACAUCGGCCCCAUAACGAGGGACCAAAGUCACCACCACACUGUCAUCAUCUUCGGCUUCCAAAUCCUCCAACAAUUCACUAAUCCCUAUCCUGAGGAUCGUGUUCUUCUUUUUCCCAUGGGAGUGUUGGUGUGGCACGUUCACAAAGCUUCCGGCAAACUCCGUGUUGUCAGGCCUGCUGACUGGAUCGUCUUCGUCGUUGAUGAAUAUGUCAAACUUCACGAACUUAUCCCUUUCUAGCUCUAUUCCUUUGAUCACCAGCACUUCUUCUUCAUCCUCCUUCUCCUUCUUACUCCUUGAUUUCCUUGGCCUUGGAACAUCAACUCUCAACGUUGAGUCCAAUUUUAUGGGGAAGACGAUGCUGCUGCUACUUGGAAUUUCGGCUGCAUUCGCUACUCCAGACUUGUGCUUCAAUUUAUUGACGACCUUCUUCAAUAUUUGACGGGGCUUUGGACGGGAUUUCAGCCAUGGAAUAUCAACCUCCUGAUAGGCAUACCUGANNNNNNNNNNNNNNNNNNNNNNNNNNNNNNNNNNNNNNNNNNNNNNNNNNNNNNNNNNNNNNNNNNNNNNNNNNNNNNNNNNNNNNNNNNNNNNNNNNNNAUAAAGGCAGACCUCUGGUUACAACCCGGAUGAUAGAGACCAUCUAGACAAUAGGGUUUGAUUUUGUGGCCACCUUAGCCAUGAAGCAAGGAUCGUGACUUGGUCAGAAAAAAUGUUCGACUUUUGGGCACGAUGUAAAGACGCGAUUUGAUUUUACACGCAAACAACGUAGGCUAACUGUUCAUCGUUUGACAAAAUUAAAAUUUUAAUAAAAAUCAAGUGUGAAACUCGAAAAAAUUUCACAUUCGACAAAAAUUGAAAAUUCAACUGGACAAAACGUGAGGACCACUGGCGCUACUAACCAUAACUUAAAUAAUUAAUUUAUUCGUCCUGUUGCCAAAUAUUUAAUCUAAUUAUCCAUUCGACUGGCAUCAUGGCAUGCACCAUUGUGGAACUUAGAAUAUAUGAUGUUCGUUUUGAGUCACUUUCUAAGUUUAUACCUUUCAUUAAUUUCUUCAGAUUUCAUAUGUAGUUGGUGAUUCGGUCGGUUACUGGUUAGUGGUUACCACCGAACACGCUUUCAAAUUCUACGGGUCAUAUUAUAAAAAGACUCAUUAAAAAAAUACAAAAUAUGUGAGAAUACUGUCAGCACUUUUGAUAAAUGCCCAUCUCAAAUCUUCCAAUCUUAAUUACAAUUAAAAUAUAAAUUUAAUUUGUAACCUCCACGUGACAAAAACCAUUAUAAUAUCUAUUAAUUUUCUAACUAAUCUUCUGGAUAAGAGUAAUUAAUGAGGCGCUGAGACCAACCCCCUUGACUUUGUCUCGUUAAUGGUGUGAUCACAGAUCUCUAUGAAGCAAUGGAUCAGUAAUGGCGCCAUGCCAGAGGCAACCUCACGAAUAGAGAAAAAAGAUAAGGAAAGCGAGAGAAAGGGGAAAGCAAUUUUCUCAGCGACUGUUCUUGAGUGAAAUGAAAGCAAUUAACCAAAGUCAUUAAAAUUACCAUCGUUAUGAUAGAAAUGUUGAAUGAUACCUAGCAACAUUCCACGGAUCAUGCAUUAUUCAUAAAGCUAAAAGCUGCUUCAUGAUUGAAUGUUACCAGAUAUUGAAGUGAUUCAGAAGUAAUCGAGCGGUCCGACCAUAAAAAGUUAGUGUAAGUCCUUUAAAUAAAUGGUCAUCUGAAUGCAAUCUUUAAUAAAGUGGGUACACUUUAAUUAUAUAUGGUUUUAUGGUUGUUGAAAAUUUGACAGUGACAAACAAUCAAACCAUCCUGAAAUAUUUUUUGUAAGUAUUUUCUCCAAAAAGUUGGCAAAAUACUUGAAUACUUUCAAGUAUUGAUAGUAUGUUUUAAAUUUUCUCAGAGUCGCUGAAUUACCAGAGAGAGUGAAUACACAAAGUGAAGAAUCAUGGCUAUCGAAUUAAGCAUACUAAUGUUCCAUACAUAACGUAGAAUUUAUUCAUUCCCCAUUACAUCAUGUCCCAGUGGAUCAAAGAAAUCCAUAGUUCAAAUCCAAAAAUGGGGUAUUACAGACAUUCCAAUCACAUAAAGGGAGGAAGUGUCGACGAAAUUCGAUUUGAUGCACACACAAAAAGAGCUGGAAAUCAUUGCAAUCCUGGAUGGAAAUCAGGGCGCCAUUAUUCUGAUGAAGAGUAGUGAGGUGAUCAAGAGGCAAGCUCAAUUUCAAUUCCGCCAAUGGUGAUAACAUCGGCCCCAUAACGAGGGACCAAAGUCACCACCACACUGUCAUCAUCUUCGGCUUCCAAAUCCUCCAACAAUUCACUAAUCCCUAUCCUGAGGAUCGUGUUCUUCUUUUUCCCAUGGGAGUGUUGGUGUGGCACGUUCACAAAGCUUCCGGCAAACUCCGUGUUGUCAGGCCUGCUGACUGGAUCGUCUUCGUCGUUGAUGAAUAUGUCAAACUUCACGAACUUAUCCCUUUCUAGCUCUAUUNNNNNNNN